CAAUAAAUUUCCUAACUUGGCUCUCUUUUUCUUUAAGUGACACAAUUCUGUGACUUCUAGGACAAGUGGAAGUCUCCAUUUAAAAACCACUCUAAUGUUGAAUGAAUCUUUAACAGCAGCAAAAUAUCUUGAGGAAAUGGGGGCUUUGGUUGUUCCUGCUGCUUCCUGGCUUCCUGUACCAGAGACAUCAGACAAAGGCUCAUUUUUCAUUUCCAUAUACAACACUGAAGACAAGAUCUACAAUAAAAAAUAAGGCAACACCCACCCCCACCCCCAAAAUAGCCUUUCAGACACAUGCAAUGGAUUAAUAAGGAAGACAUACAUAACUUGCUUAUUGAUCUAGCCCAAACUUUGACAUAGUCUCCCUUACCCUGAUGUCAUAUCUUUACUACACUAUACUGAAUUGAAUUUAGCUCCUACAGUUUCUUAAAUACGACAACCGGAAACAAUGAGAUUAUAUACAAGAACUAUACAAGGAUCGUGAAACUUAAUAAAAUUUAGAGAAAAAAAAUCUAGAAAUGUGAGAGUGAUUCAGGUGAGACAUGUCACCUCAUUGACCAUGGGGUUCAGUCCACUCACUAAUUUGGCUGACCAGAUUUCCAUGUGUACCUUCUGGAAGCUGCCCAUCUGGUAGAAAAAAGAAAAUCUUAACUGUAAAAGAAGAAGAAGGAGAAGAACAGCAACAAUAGUUUUUUUCAGUUCAUAUAGUCCAGUAAGUGUGAUACUUCCCCCAAAAAAUAUUUUCAGAAAUUAAGAAUUGAUGUAAAGUAUCUUUCUCCCUGGAGGGAAUACGAAAGUCAGAUGCUCUGUCCUUUGUACAUGGGCAACGCUUUCUCUUACCUGGACUUUCUCUCUCUCACCUGGACAAAAAGGUAUGAUGAUCAUUGCCUUUCUUAGUAUGAAAACCAUUCGAAUAAGUAAAACCUAUGCUCAACCAGAACUCUCACUUCUAUCCACUUGUCUUAGACCAUUAAAAGACCAAUUGCUACUCUAAUUCCAUGCAAACUUGUGAAUCAUAUAGGGCAUAUGUGACGACCCUGCUAAGAAGAGAAUUUGACCAACUCGUCCCUAGUUCUCUUAGAAGAUACCCUCAGAAGCUCAAUACUAAAGGAAACUUCAGUCCCGGAUCCUCUAAGUGCUUUCCUUGCAUGUGCAUGAGAUGUUUUGGCAGCUCUGUGGAGCUUUCAGAAGCCUUGAACAGAGAAAAUAAGAAAGAAUGGCAUUCCAGGGAAUAAACAAGUUUGACCUCAAUUGGACAAAAGGAGGUACAAAGCCUGGUGAAGGAAGAAACAGAAUAGGUAAAACAGAACACACCCUGUAACACCAGGGGAAAGUAGCAACCUUAUAAAUACAAACAUGUUGGACAGCAAACGUACCAGUGCUGUGCGUGAGAAAGUGAUCCAAGGAAGAGAGAAAGCCCUGCACAUCGGGUGAGAAUCACAUGCAUCAGGAAAGAAAGAAAGUGCAGAGAAGAACCUGCUGCCUACUUAAUGUGCCUGCCCAGCUGGCUUGGCCUCAGUGCUGCAUCCAGCAACCAGGAAGCCACCGUGGGAAAGCCAGCCCUAAAUGCACAAGAGGCCAAGGAGCUUGGUUUCCUGAAGGAUCCCUGCCUCCUGAAGCUGGCAACAACAUCUCUUUAUCUGGCUGGAUAAAGCAGGGCAUCUUUCUUUCAAGAGAAACAAGAGGUGUUUUUUUUUUUUUUUUAAUUCAGAUUUUAUUAAUCCCACAGGUUUGAGAGAGGUGGCAUGGGAAAAGCAAAUGUUAGCUAAUUAACUGCUUCCUAGGAUCCAAUCAGUCAUUAAAAAUGUGCUUAUGAAAUUUU